UCAGAUAAAAGAUUUUGUUUUAAAAGUCGUUUUGUUAAGCGGGGUCGGAUGAAAUACUGAACUUAAAGUAAUAAGCUUUAAGCUAAUUUGAGUAGUUUAGUCGCUCAAGUUAAAAACUUCAAUAGGAAAUUUCUUCCUGGAACGUGGUUUGGACUUGGUAUCUGGUUUUCACUCAACCCCAAUGCAGCCAAUCAAUGCCAUCAACGAAUAUGUGAAUGUACGCAUGCAUUUCUUGGAAUGAUUUGCCGAUAGGUUUGCUUCGGUAUGAGCGGGUUGCUGGAAGAUGCAAAUGCUGUGGUGGAAAUGCACUACGCAUCAGUCGAGUCUCGAAAGCCAUUUGAAAGAGAUGGAGGCUUAAAGUAUGGAAAGAACGAAUUCCUAUUCAACAGUUAUGUGAAAGGAACUUCAUCUCUGGCUAAACAAGACCUUGAGCAGACACCUGUUUGGAAUAUGCGAGGCUUAUUAAAGCCUACUCAUCUGAAGAAUCGUUCUUCGUCCCUGCAAGUUUCCCUUCGAAGAUGAACCGUAACCAUCCGAAAUCUGAACCUCUGGAGAUGCCUUUCCCGAUUUCUAACGAAGAGGAGUUGAUUAUUCUAGUGCAUCCACUGCUCAUCAGCAUUUGAUCGGUACAUUUUGUCUUAUACUUGUAAUGUCCGAAAUAUUUUCUAUGUUUAUGGGAGUAGUUUGCCAACCACCGUGCUAUACGGCAUUAAACCUUCUAAACGGAAUAUAUUUAGAUUACCCGCUUAGUUAAUAUGUAGAAUAAAUCAUGACUACAUUCCGGAGUUUGGGUAUAAAAAUUUGAAAUCGACAAUGAUCUCAAACAUCGUCCUUAAUAAAAAUGUGAAUAUUUGUUAUAAUAGGAUGCAUUUUGAAGUAUCUAGUAAAAACAUUUUAAAUUCAUAUGGUGAAUAAAAAUUACAAGCUGCUGAAAUCUGGAAGACAAGAAUGCUUUAAGUUAUUUUUAUAGCCAUAAAAAUUUUCGCACAAAGUCAAAUUCCUUCGUACAUCUACGGAUUCGGAUCAUUUAUACAGAUCUGAACGUUUUUGUAAUAUUGAAUGUACAGAUACAUAAUCGAUGCCGUGAAAUGACCUUUGGAAAACGACCGCUAGACCUUUUUCAGUAGAUUAAGUGAGGGAUUGACGAGAGCAUUUAUUAAAAUGUUUAUAUACAGGACAAUACAUGCAUGAAUUCAAAAAGAUCUGUAUAAUUUAAGUACGCCAAGACUAACAUUUCAUUUAAAUAUUUAAAAUGAGCUGGAGCAUAGAAUUCUUGGCGAAAACAACGAACUUGGCAUGAUUUUUGAGAUUCAUAUACAUUUAAAUCUGGUGUUGCUUCACCAUAUUGGUUAGAUUAAAUUCCUCCAGUCUCGUCACUCAAAUGGGCCUUGUCUGUAAUGGAAUACUCUUCAUGGACUAAUUCAGAAAGAUUAUCAGUGAUAUCCGUUUGGUCUUGUUUUCCAAUAUCGAAGUAGGAUCUGUUCCAGUAGGGUCAUUGAAGAAUAUUUUUCUCCCUCCAAUGUUAAGGUGCUAAGUUGAGCUUCUUUAUGAUCGGAGACAUGGGCAGAGGAAUAAGGCAGUUGCGAAAUAGUAGAAAUGGGAGAUUAAUUCACUGUAGGUGGUUAUUUUUACAGAAAUGAAUAAAAAUACCGCGUCAUUUCGGUCUUAAAUAAGCAAACUAACGAUAUUUAAUCUAAAUGUUCUAAUGAAUUGUUUGACUUUAUUGUUUUCGUUUGAAUGAGGAAGUUAAAAGCCAUACAUCUCCGCCUCGUGUGAAAAUGUCUAGAUCCGUGGUUGAAUAGGGGAGUGGGUCUUUUGUUUAGGAUCUUGGAGAAAGCGAAAUGAGAAACA